rnacentral:rRNA from 1 species
UACGUAGGGGGCAAGCGUUGUCCGGAAUCAUUGGGCGUAAAGCGCGUGUAGGCGGUCCGGUAAGUCGGCUGUGAAAGUCCAGGGCUCAACCCUGGGAUGCCGGUCGAUACUGCCGGACUAGAGUUCGGAAGAGGCGAGUGGAAUUCCCGGUGUAGCGGUGAAAUGCGCAGAUAUCAGGAGGAACACCAACGGCGAAGGCAGCUCGCUGGGACGGUACUGACACUGAGGCGCGAAAGCGUGGGGAGCGAACAGG